AUGGAAAGCAAUAGAGCCCCUGGUCCUGAUGACAUACCAGUAGAAUUCUAUAAGCACUAUUGGGAUUUUGUCAAAGGGGAUAUUAUGCGGCUGUUUGAAGCAUUCCACAAUAAUACCCUAGAUGUGGCUCGAUUAAACUAUGGGAUCAUUACCCUAAUUCCAAAAAUAAAUGGGGCAAAGAAGAUUCAGAAGUAUCGCCCCAUUUGUCUCCUUAGGUGCCCAUAUAAACUGAUCACUAAAGUCUUGGAUAAUAGAGUCGCUGUGUUUGCUGACAAACUGAUUAGCAAAUACCAGAAUGCUUUCAUCAAGCACAGAAACAUCAUGGAUGGUAUUCUCACCCUCCAUGAAGUGUUACACCAUACUCAUCAUAAGAAGAAAACUGGGAUUGUUCUGAAGUUGGAUUUCGAAAAGGCGUAUGACAAGAUAAACUGGGACUUCCUUCUUGAGUGUCACCGCAACUGUGGUUUUGGGCCGACCUGGUGUGGUUGGGUGGAAAAGAUUUUACACAAUGGCACUCUAAGUAUUAAGCUCAACAACGAGACGGGCCCCUACUUCCAGAGCCACAAAGGGGUCCAUCAGGGUGACCCUUAUUCCCCUUUUCUUUUUAAUUUGGUUGUGGAAGACUUAUCGAAGAUGGUUACUAAUGCUCAAAAAGAGAAUAUGAUUACUGGGCUUGCACCCGACCUGAUAGAGGGGAGAGUAGCUAUCCUACAAUACCAGAUGAUACGGUGA
rnacentral:rRNA from 1 species